rnacentral:rRNA from 1 species
GAUGAACGCUAGCGGGAGGCUUAACACAUGCAAGUCGAGGGGCAUCACGAGGUAGCAAUACUUUGGUGGCGACCGGCGCACGGGUGAGUAACACGUAUGCAACCUACCCUGUACAGGGGGAUAACCCGGAGAAAUUCGGACUAAUAUUCCAUAAUGAUAUUUUAGGGCAUCCUUUAAUAUUUAAAGCUUUGGCGGUACAGGAUGGGCAUGCGCAACAUUAGCUAGUUGGGAGGGUAACGGCCUACCAAGGCUAUGAUGUUUAAGGGACCUGAGAGGGUGAUCCCCCACACUGGUACUGAGACACGGACCAGACUCCUACGGGAGGCAGCAGUGAGGAAUAUUGGUCAAUGGGCGGAAGCCUGAACCAGCCAUCCCGCGUGCAGGAAGACAGCCCUAUGGGUUGUAAACUGCUUUUCCAGUGGGCGAACCCCUCGUACGUGUACGGGAUUGACGGUACACUGGGAAUAAGCAUCGGCUAACUCCGUG